rnacentral:sRNA from 1 species
GCUAGGCACAGUGGUAAAUGCCUGUAGUCACAACUACCUGGGACGUUGAGGUGGGAGGAUGGUUUGAGCUCAGGAGUUCAAGACUAGCAUGAGCAACAUGGCAAAGACUCCACCUCAA